UCGAGUGGGUUUAGACCCACGGCGAACGGGUGAGUAAUACCUAGGAACGUAUCUUUAGUUGAGCAUAUCCCACCGAAAGGUGGAGCAAUUCUCAAUGUGAUCGCAAGAUUAAAGUCGCAAGACGCUAAAGAAGCGGCCUGGGCACCAUCAGCUAGUUGGUAAGGUAAAAGCUUACCAAGGCUAUGACGGUUAGGGGUCCCGAGAAGGAUAACCCCCACACUGGAACUGCGACACGGUCCAG
rnacentral:rRNA from 1 species